rnacentral:lncRNA from 1 species
AUCCUGUUCUCUUGAACAGCCACUGGAGAUCUAUGGAAAAGAGCUUAAGAAAGGCCAUGUGAAGACACGGUGAGAAGACGGCCAUCUGAAAGUCAGGAGGAGUAUCCUCUUGAGAACUGAAUCAAGCUAGUACUUUGAUCUUGGACUUCCAGCCUCCAGAACUGCAGUGUUGGUCUGCAAGCUUCAAGAGCCAGUGACCCUGACUGCCAAGUGAUUUGCCGAAGGGAAUUAUGGUUUUGCAUUUGAUGGUUUCCAGGAACUGCUAAGAGUGAGAUCAUCCCUGAAGCAGUGACUGCCAGAGGAAGGCGAGAGACAUAUGGUGGCCUUACAGGUAUCUACAAUAUUGAAACAAUGUUUUAUUUUUAUUUUUAUUUUUUAUGGAGAGUGUUCAAAAAAGUUGGAAAGACAUUGUAGGAAACCACUUACCACUUUGUAAGUCUCUCUCUCUCCAUUUGACUGAACUCUGUGGGGGAAAGAGCCCAGUCUUCUUACAGCCUUAUUACAUUUGAAUCCUCAGCAUGUAGCUCCUGAUGUGGAUCAGCCUUAGGAGAAAGAAGUCUGUGCUUAAAUGGAAUGCUUGAUCUCAGAAAAUGGAAAGAAUUUCAAGACUCUGAUUACUUUAUGACAAAGACAUUUUACUGCCAGGAAAAAUGGAGAAGAACAUGUCUCAGAGAGCUCCUACUCCUCCAGUUUUGGCCCCAGAAUGAAACACAGGAAGAAGACCUGAAUUUGAUUUGCAUUUCAAAGUAGAACUGUCCCAGCUGACAUGAAGACUGAUGAAUAAGGAAUAAGUAUUUAUUGUUGUAUGUCACUGAUAUUUCUGUGGUCGAUUAUGUGUAGAAGAGCUGACUUGUACACUUACAUAAACUUGAAGAAGACUGAAUUUAGAAAUGGAGUUUCUGCAUAUGGUUAUGUCUGAGUAGCUCCAAGUGGAUCAUCCCUCCCACAGAUAACAACUCUAAACUCUGGACAAAAUAUAAAAAUAACAAUUUCCUGAAUAUCAAAGAGCAACCCAAAUCAUGCAGAUACUGGGUAUUAAGGCUGAAUUUGUCUACACAUCAAACAUGUACCUAGGAGGAAUAUUUGCUCUGUGCCAUCAGCAGUGUAGAAACUAGAAUAACCAGCUGCCGUAUUGUGAGCUGCAUUAUGAAGAGAACCAUGUGGCAAGACACUGAGGGAGAUCUCCAGCCAACAACAACUCAUAAGCAACUAAAUCUUGUGAUGAACCACUGGAGUCAUCUGGAAAGAGGAUCCUCUCACCUUCAAUCUUUGAAAUGGCUAGAGCUCUGAUGACAGUUGGAUUACAGCCUUAGGAGAAACAGAGAGCCGGGGAAAUUUGUGCCCAGGUUCCUUUCCCACAGACAUUGUCAGAUAAUAAAUAUCUCUGCGUUUUUAAGCUUCUAUGUUCUGGGAUAAUUUGUUAUGCUGCAAUAAAUAACAACCUGGAAGUGAGGUGCUGCCAUAGUAAAUAUCUAAAUAUGGAUCAUUAACUCAUGUCUAAACUAGCCUUAGAAUAAUAGCUACUCUAGACUUGUUAGCAGAACUUAAAACAAGCCUUAAGAGAACCAAGCUGAUCCAGAAAUAACAUACAUUAGCGGAUUAAAAUCCAACUUUCCUUAAAGAGUGAUAGAAAAAGUAAAAUACACAAUAUCUAACAUUCAAUCAAGAAUUACUAUUGAGAACAUGGAAAAACAUGACCCAUAAACGGGAGAAAAUUUAGUGAAUAGAAACAGAUCCCAAGAUGAUAACAAUAAUAGAAUUAAUAAACAGGACUUUGUAAACAACUAUGAUAAAUAUGCUUGACUGUUUAAAGAAAAACAUGAAAAUAAUAAUGAUGAGAGGAAUUAAAGAUAUAUAAAAGGACCAAAUAGAACAUCUAGAUUUUUAUUUAACUUAGGCACUAUAUGAAGUUAAAGAUACACUAGGCAAGACACUGUAGAAGAUAAGAUAGAUAAACUUGAAGACAUGGAUCUCAAAUUUUUCUAAACUGACUUUCUUAUGGGGACAGAAAAGACCAAGAAAAUAUGAACAGUGUCUCCUUAACUUUUUAUACUGCCUCAGUGUCUCAAUUACUUGUAAUGAUAUGAAACAGUCCAAUGUAUGUAUCACUGGAGUCCUGGAAAGAAAAUGAGGGACCAGAAAAAGGUUAAAGAAAUUCUAGCCUAAAUUAUUCCAAAAUUGGUAAAUACAACAUAUACUCACUUUGUAGAAGCUCAAUGAAUUUCAGUUGAGCUAAACAGCAAACAGACAAAAAAACAACCCCACCAAUUCUCAAAAGCAAAAACAGAAAAAGCUAUAAGCACAUCAUAAUCAAAUUAUUAAAUACUAGCAAUGAAUGAAAAUCUCUUACACAAGUCAGAAUAUAAAAUGCAAAUUAUUUAGAGAAGGAAAAAGAUAACCUAUGACAGAAAAUAAUUAAAUAACAUCUUCAGAAAACCAUGGAACACUGCUAAGAGAAAUCACACAUGACACAAAAGAAAACACAUACCAUGCUUAUGGAUGGGAAGAAUCAAUAUUGUGAAAAUAACCAUACUGGCCAAAGCAAUCUGCAGAUUCAAUGCAAUU